UCAUCAUCUGUUAACGAACUAAAUUGUGAAAACACUUUCUGGUAGUUACAAGGCAUUAACUUUGCAUGGAAUAUGAAAAUUUUUGGGUGUUACCUGGUGGUCGGAGGAUAUUUUUCGAGCAAAUGUAUCAUACAUACAACAUUCUAUUCCAUAAUUACUCGCAUUUUUAUAGCGUUCAUAUUAAUGAAAAAUAUACAAACGUAGUGAAAAGAAAACACUAAUCAAUAAAGAAAUGACUGAUAUUGAAAAUCAAAUUAAUUUCAUUUAAGUAAUUAUUACCAGCCAGACAUAAAUUAUGGUUUAUAGCGGUCAAAUCAAAUCAAAUCAAAUCAAAUCAAAAAUUUUUUAUUCAACAUAAAUGAAAGUACAUACUUGUUGAACGUCAAAAGAACUACCGCCAAUUCACAAGAACUAGCCUCCGUCCUGAGAAGAAUUGGCAAGAAACUCAGCGGGCAUGUUUUUUUUUUUUUUUAAUAAGCAAUUAUUAUUUAUUAAUUUUUUAAUAUUACAUUUUUUUUUUAAAUAUGAGUUUUUUACAAUGAGUAUUAUAACGUAACAAUUACUACAAUAUUGAAAUGCCCGGAGCGAGCAACUCAUUCCCACUUUGUGCAAUCUUCUAGAUAAUCAUUGACUUUAUAGUAAGCUUUAUUGCACAGAUGUUCUUUAACAGUUUUCUUAAACCUAUGUAUAUGUAGGUUCUGAACAUCUUGUGGGAUUUUGUUGUACAGGCGCACAAACACCCGAAUGAAUUUCUUAUCUUAUGUAACCUACUCAUCGGCACAACAAGCUUGUGUUUGUUCCUAGUCAGUAUCGUAAAACAGCAAUUUUGUAGAUAAAGACCUAAUGUAUGUUAUUUGUGUGUAAUUUAAGGAUCUCGUCUGCAAUUUUUUUAGUAAAAUUCACAUUAUAUUUCAAUAUUUAUAUUUAUAGUAUAUUAGUGAGUUAUUAUAGAGCUUGCUUUUUAACAUCAUCUGGAGUAGAGAUCAUGCCACCCCACCUGGUGACCCUCGCCCUGGCCAGUGAGUUGGCCCAGCGCACCACCUCCUCGCGCUCCAUCUGAUCCGCCAAUGCACGCAUCGUUGGAUUCGACACGCGCAUCGCUCUCAUGAACUCCUUCAAGAAAAUGUUCCUGAUUUAAAAGUGGUUAGAUUUGCGCAUCUCAUUUUAAUGGUUGCUUUAUAGAAUUCGAUUAAUCGAAAUUUUUUAACUUAAGGAGACCAAGUUAUUGUUUGUUAUGUUUAAACUUUAACAAGUUAACUGAUAUUUAUAAAUAUAAAUUAACAUAAUGUUAAAGUUCACAUUUCUUUUUAUGUAGGUAAUACGUAGGUAGAAAGAAUCUACAUUGAAUGUGUUAUUUAAGAAAAAACUACAAAUAGUAAAAAAACAUACCUUUAAUAAUGCCAAUUCUCGUUUGUGCUCAUUAAUAACGAGCCUCUGUUCAGCCAGUUCUUGCUGGUAAUCAUUCAGCUUCCCCUGCUGAGUGGCUAUCAGUGCUCUAAGCUCACGUACACAAUUAUGUUGGGCUAAUUCAUCUUUUGGUAUCACCAGUCCACAUCCUGCCUCACAAGGUAUUGGUCGUUUAGGAUUAAAUUCACCUGUUCGACAGAUUAAUCUUAUUAGCCAUGUAUUAUCAAACACGGACAUAAUUUCAUAACAGAAACAAAUUAUUUAUGGUUUAUAUUUUUUACAAUUUCGAUUACAAUAAAUAAAAUAAUUUACACAAAUAGACGACUUUUUAAGAAUAAGUUAAUGAAAGUGUGUCUUAUUAGAAAUGGGCCUUAGAAAUGUGUCAAUAAACUAAUCUCACAUAUCAUAAUUGGA